UGCAAAAGUUAUCUAGGGUUGGUGCUAACUUCCUGUGCGGAGAGAGGAAGUGAAGUGAGAUGCAGAGAAACUCCAUAGAGGCACCAGUGGGUGGCCAGCAGAGACAGCUUACAGAUCUUCAGCAGAAGAAAUCUUUGCAAUGCAGCAAUAAGAUUGGACUAGACACAACUGGAGACUGCCUCACUCAAAACCGGGGAAAGUGAAAUGGGAAGGAUUUUGGUACAUUCCAGUGUGACAAAAGGAGGGGGGAAGGUACCUCUGUGAGUGUAAACAGGAGCAACUACAAAAGGAUAAGUAAUACCUCCAGGAUAUUUCCCAUGCUCAUGUAGAUGUUUCUGCAGCAACAACAACAUGCAACAUAUGACUUCUGGUCAUUCCUGGUUUACAAAUAACAAAUGCAAGUGAUAUAUGUUUAAUUCUACACUAUUGAAAAUGUUUAGGGCUUUCAGGAAAACAAAAAAAAAACAAGCAAAAUAGUAACAAAUGACAUUAGAACUGAAGGCCGUAUCCCUUCAGACACAGGCAACUUUAGUUUAAGAAUUCUCGCACCACAGAGUGAAAAUGUCACAUGGUCAAGCUUCAGAUGAAAUCAGCCCAUGGAUUGUACAUGUAAAUUGCAUUGCAGCCUUAACUUAUGCAGAGAAGUAAUGACCAGCAUGAAAUAGCAAGUGGUAAUGAAAUAUGAAUUACUGUUGCAGAGAAAAAUAUCCAGGUAUUGGAAGAUAAUAUUUUAGAUGUAAGCAGUAAAUAAACUGGUUUUAUCAUGUGUU